rnacentral:rRNA from 1 species
GACGAACGCUGGCGGCGUGCUUAACACAUGCAAGUCGAACGGAAAGGCCUGCUUUCUCUUGUGGAUUGCGGGUACUCGAGUGGCGAACGGGUGAGUAACACGUGAGUGAUCUGCCCCCAACUUGGGUAUAAGCCUGGGAAACUGGGUCUAAUUCCCGAUAGGACUGCAGGGUGGUGCCUGUGGUGGAAAACGAUUUUCUAGUGGUUGGGGAUGAGCUCGCGGCCUAUCAGCUUGUUGGUGGGGUAAUGGCCUACCAAGGCGGCGACGGGUAGCCGGCCUGAGAGGGUGGACGGCCACAUUGGGACUGAGAUACGGCCCAGACUCCUACGGGAGGCAGCAGUGGGGAAUAUUGCACAAUGGGCGGAAGCCUGAUGCAGCGACGCCGCGUGGGGGAUGACGGCCUUCGGGGUGUAAACUCCUUUCGACCGCGAGGAAGCCACCUGGUUGGAAGGGUGGUGACGGUAGUGGUAGAAGAAGCACCGGCUAACUACGUGC